UCUUUACUUUUGUCUUUCUUUCUCUUUUUUAUUUUUACUUUUUUCUUUUAAAUAACUUGUGGUUUCUAAUUUCAAAAUAAGAAAAUAAUAAUAAUACUUCUCCUUUUUCUUUCUUUUACUUUACUUUUUAUCCUAAUGUUAUCCUCACGCGCCUCCAUCAAGUGUCUGCAUUUCUUUUUAAAAAUAAAAAUUGCUUAAACAAAAUAAAUAAACUUUACAAAUUAAAUCCAAAACAUAGUUUUUUUUUUUUUUUCUUAAAAAAGAAAAAUGGAAUAAUGAAUGGUUAAGGAUAAUACACAAACCAGCCAAAAUAAAUAUAAAACUUGAUAAAAAAAAAGUGGGUAUUUAAUAUCCUCAGCCAAUCUCAUUAAAGAUGGAUAUGGAAAUCAAUAGAAUUGCAACUCAUAUGUUCCAUAAACUUUUCUACUAGCAAUACCAUUGUGAAAAAGCCUCCAAACAAAAAGGAUAGAAUUUUUUUGGAAGAGCAAACUGAGUUCUAUCUUUUGAACUUCAAGAACCCAUUACCAAAAUGAUCAAUCCUUUCCCUUUCCCUUCAAUUUGCAACCUGGACAGUCAGGACAGGAGGAGGACAAAAGGAGGGAUAUGUUUGAUGGUUUCAACCUCCACUCAUGAUGAGCAUAGAUUUUUGCAAAACAGCAUCGUUCCAUCUGAUGGUUGUGCAAUGAUGGUUCACCCUGUUGGUGGUGAAAUAUUAAUGGUGAUGGUUAAAUGGUAGUGGCAGUCGUAGAAGUUAGCCAGUCGCAACAAUGAUAGUGCUCGUUCAUUGGCCGGGAUGAUGGUCAGACCAAUGGUGGACCGUGAUUCAAAAACAUUGGAGGUUCAGCAGCAGUUGGUUAGCAAUGGCAGGAGACAACAACAAUAAUACUGUACCAAUGUUCAUUUUACUACUAAAAGAUCCAAUACCAUUCAGUUGAAUCUAAAUAGUGUUGUAACCUAAAUUAUAAGCUUAAGAUCUAUGUACUCCAUAUUGUCAAUAA